GACGAACGCUGGCGGCGUGCUUAACACAUGCAAGUCGAACGGAAAGGCCCUGCUUUUGUGGGGUGCUCGAGUGGCGAACGGGUGAGUAACACGUGAGUAACCUGCCCUUGACUUUGGGAUAACUUCAGGAAACUUGGUCUAAUACCGGAUAGGAGCUCCUGCUGCAUGUUGGGGGUUGGAAAGUUUCGGCGGUUGGGGAUGGACUCGCGGCUUAUCAGCUUGUUGGUGGGGUAGUGGCUUACCAAGGCUUUGACGGGUAGCCGGCCUGAGAGGAUGACCGGCCACAUUGGGACUGAGAUAAGGCCCAGACUACUACGGGAGGCAGCAGUGGGGAAUAUUGCACAAUGGGCGGAAGCCUGAUGCAGCAACGCAGCGUGCGGGAUGACGGCCUUCGGGUUGUAAACCGAUUUCGCCUGUGACGAAGCGUGAGUGACGGUAAUGGGUAAAGAAGCACCGGCUAACUACGUG
rnacentral:rRNA from 1 species